GCCUGGGUGGCUCAGCUGGUCAAGCGUCUGACUUUAGCUCAGGUCACGAUCUCGUGGUUCAUGAGUUCGAGCCCCACUUCAGGCU
rnacentral:tRNA from 1 species